rnacentral:lncRNA from 1 species
UUGGGUUUUGCUUUGGCUUUUGCAGAAGGCAGUAGAGGAGCUGUGCUUGGCUAGAGUGUUCAUGCUGAUUAAGCAAAAUGUUGUUUUGGAUGCCUGCCUGGACAUAGCCAAGAAACCCAAGUAAAAGAGCAGAUCGUGAUGGGUGGAGCACCAUAUCCUGCCAUAUUUGAUUUUGUCUCCUGCUCCUCUGCUUUGCGGUCACCUCAGCCAUUCCCCAGGACCACAACAUAUGCUUCAGCUUUCCUCAGGUAACAGAGAGCUCUUUAUUUUAGCUCAAGAGCCUGAUCCCACUUAUACCUCUCCUAUGUCUGGUUUUGCCAUAAAUCCAGAAUGAUAACCCCACUGUACUGACAUAUUCACAAGAGGGACAUCAACAUUAUUUGUGGAGGAGUGGCACAAAAAUAAGACGUGGAAAUGCGUGGAGCUGAAAUCAGUGUAUAUAUUUCUCAAAACAUCUGUCUUCACAUGUCUUCAUCUGGGGAACCUUACCCAAAGAAAGCUGGGGAGAUCCCAGUGGGCCAGGAAAAUUUAAGGCUGG